rnacentral:sRNA from 1 species
ACAUAGCCCUGAUGGGAACGGCAUCCUUUUUUGUUUUUUGGAAAACAAAAAAGAUAUAGUGAACAGCAGGUUGGAAA